rnacentral:lncRNA from 1 species
GUCACGUCCCGCUAUCGCCAAUUUGGUCGAUCCGGGCCCGUACACAGACGCCGAACGAACAGCACCUCCUCUGUUCGUCCAAGGCUAAACCACAACGAGUACAUGUAUAAAGAAAUAAACAAUUCCCAGGAUCACAUUUCAAUAUACAUGGCUUGCUCGAAGGCAAGCAACAAACACAAGUGAUAGUAAAGCAGAUAGUAACCAACUAGAUAUGUAACUACUACAAUGCCUGUACAAAGCUGAAAGAAAGCAAUAUAUAUGAAAACUGUAAAUAUGCAUGCAUGCUUUUCAUUAACUUUACCCAAUCUUUUGGUUAACCCUUUGGUUAACAAUUACUCACUGACACUAUCCCAAAUAUCGGGGAGACGCAACCUGCACCCGACGGGACUGUCAACUGGGGGAGACGCAACCUCCUGGUCCAGUACAGAUGACUACUCCGGAGCUCAUCGUUCAAGGAGGAGCGACCUCACUUGAACCAAACGAUUGUGAGUAUGAUCUGAUCCCCCUUUAGAGGAUUCAACUGACAAACACUGUCACACUUUACUCUAACUAGCUCUAUAUGCUAGUUUCACAAUUCAUAUCUCAAUACUAACCAAAUCUCUAGUCAUAUGUCACCAGGUUCACUAUUGUCAUAGUCCAAUGCAUUCAUAGGGUUAGAUAUUCACAUUCUAUGUUCAUACAUUUACAAGGUUGAUACACAAUUGCAUAAUCAAUAUUCUUUACAUACUCUCAAUGCCCUAUAAUGCAUGAAUUCAUUGUAAGUAGACAAUUAUGCUCAAUGAAAUAUUUUAGACAUAAAAAGUGAUUCAGAGAUUUCGGAUAGCACCACCCACCUGUAGUGGUGUAAACAACUAGAAUCCACUUUAUCUGUCACGUCCCGCUAUCGCCAAUUUGGUCGAUCCGGGCCCGUACACAGACGCCGAACGAACAGCACCUCCUCUGUUCGUCCAAGGCUAAACCACAACGAGUACAUGUAUAAAGAAAUAAACAAUUCCCAGGAUCACAUUUCAAUAUACAUGGCUUGCUCGAAGGCAAGCAACAAACACAAGUGAUAGUAAAGUAACUGAACAAUGAAAUUCACUGUAAUUUAAAACUUAUCAGAGCCAAUUACCAGACGGAAGUGUGAGAUGAGUCUCGGCUGAGCCAGGGUCUGGAUGACGGGCUAGCAAGAUGAGUCUCACAUCGCCUGGUACUUGUGAGUCUGAGCCUGACGAGGACGUCAGGGCUUAAAGGAGGGGAGAUUGUGAGACCCCAGAUAGUCCUAUAUAUGAGAUAUAAUAGGGCUAAACUCUUAAC